GGACUACCGGGGUUUCUAAUCCUGUUUGCUCCCCACGCUUUCGUGCAUGAGCGUCAGUGUUAUCCCAGGGGGCUGCCUUCGCCAUCGGUAUUCCUCCACAUCUCUACGCAUUUCACUGCUACACGUGGAAUUCUACCCCCCUCUGACACACUCUAGCCGUGCAGUCACAAAGGCCAUUCCCAGGUUAAGCCCGGGGAUUUCACCUCUGUCUUGCACAACCGCCUGCGCACGCUUUACGCCCAGUAAUUCCGAUUAACGCUCGCACCCUACGUAUUACCGCGGCUGCUGGCAC
rnacentral:rRNA from 1 species